UGGUUUGGUGCAGCCUGCAUAUACUGUAGGA
rnacentral:piRNA from 1 species